rnacentral:rRNA from 1 species
UACAGAGGGGGCAAGCGUUAUUCGGAAUUAUUGGGCGUAAAGGGCGCGUAGGCGGCGAUUCAAGUGACGGGUGAAAUCCCUCGGCUUAACCGAGGAACUGCCUGUCAGACUGGAUUGCUUGAAUCCGGGAGAGGGAUGCGGAAUUCCAGGUGUAGCGGUGAAAUGCGUAGAUAUCUGGAGGAACACCGGUGGCGAAGGCGGCAUCCUGGACCGGCAUUGACGCUGAGGCGCGAAAGCCAGGGGAGCAAACGGG